CGACCGGCGCACGGGUGAGUAACGCGUAUGCAACCUACCUAUCAGAGGGAAUAACCCGGCGAAAGUCGGACUAAUACCGCAUAAAACAGGGGUUCCACAUGGAAAUAUUUGUUAAAGAAUUAUCGCUGAUAGAUGGGCAUGCGUUCCAUUAGAUAGUUGGUGAGGUAACGGCUCACCAAGUCCACGAUGGAUAGGGGUUCUGAGAGGAAGGUCCCCCACACUGGUACUGAGACACGGACCAGACUCCUACGGAAGGCAGCAG
rnacentral:rRNA from 1 species